rnacentral:lncRNA from 1 species
CACCCCUCUGUUCUCUAACCAAAGCCAAGAACUCAAACCCGGGUUCCAUUCUCAUCCCUCAUUUUUUUUGUAUAAGCGGAUGGUUACACCAUUCUGGUGCCAGAACAGCCCAUAAGAUCUAGAUACGAAAGAUCUCGCAAGACUGGCGAGCGAACAUCACCCAACCUCCAAAUCCAGUCUCCUGAGUGCUUCGCCACGAAUACAGCAACCCAAUCUAUCACAAUAUUCGUCUUUUGAUAGACAUACCAGGUCAGC